GGUUUGGGGAUGGGAACGGAUUUGGGGGGAAAAAGGGCGAUUUUGGGGCUGCGGGAUUUGUUGGAGGGCGGGUUUGGGGUGAAAAGUGGGGAUUUGGGGUAAAAGAUGCAGAUUUGGGAGAUAAGGAAAUUUUGGGGUGAAAAGCGGGGAUUUGGGGGCUGGAAAAUGCGGGUUUUGGGGCGGCAAACGGAGAUUUUGGGGUGAAAAGCGGAGAUUUGGGGACAAAAAUGUGCGGAUUUGGGGCGGAAAAGGGGAGAUUUGGGCUCCAAAAGUGUCGAUUUUGGGGCGAAAAGUUGAGAUUUGGGGCCAAACGUUCGGAUUUUGGGGCGAAAAGUUGAGAUUUGGGGCAAAAAGUGGAGAUUCGGGGGCUGAAAAAUUCAGAUUUUGGGGAGAAAAGUGGAGAUUUUGGGCAAAAAAGUGCAGAUUUGGGGGCAAAAGUUGCGAUUUUGGGGCUGAAAAUUUCAGCUUUUGGGGUGGAAAAAGGAGAUUUUGGGGGAAAAAGUGCGGAUUUUGGAGCGGAAAUUUGCAGAUUUUUGUGCAAAAGUUCCGAUUUUGGGGUGAAAAGUUGCGAUUUUGGGGCAUAAAGUUGCGAUUUUUGAGCAAAAAGUUCCCAUUUGGGAGCAGAAGUUCAGAUUUUGGGGCAAAUCUUUGAGAUUUGGGGCAAAAAAAUCCGGGUUUUGGGGUGGAAAGUUGAAAUUUGGGGCUGAAAAAAUCAGAUUUUGGGGAUAAAUUGGGAGAUUUUUGGGGAAAAAGCUGCAAUUUUGGGGCUGAAAAUUCAGAUUUUGGGGAUAAAUUGGGAGAUUUUGGGGGGAAAAGUGCAGAUUUGGGGGAUGAAACGUUGCGAUUUUGGGGCAAAAAUGCAGAUUUUGGGGCACAAGUUCAGACUUUGGGGCAAAUAUUUGAGAUUUGGGGCAAAAAAAUCCAGAUUUUGGGGUGGAAAGUUGGGAUUUGGGGCAAAAAAGUGCAGAAUUUGGGGCAGAAGUUUGGAUUUGGGGGCAAAAAGUUGCGAUUUUGGGGCAAAAAUGCCGAUUUUGGGGUGAAAAGUUGGGAUUUGGGGGCAAAAAAAGGCAGAUUUGGGGGCUGAAACGUUUAGAUUUUGGAGCAAAUGUUUGAGAUUUGGGGCAAAAAAUUCCAGAUUUGGGGCAGAAAAGUUGGGAUUUGGGGAUU
rnacentral:lncRNA from 1 species